rnacentral:rRNA from 1 species
UUUGGCGAUGAUAGCUUGUUGGAACCACCUGAUCCCAUUCCGAUCUCAGAAGUGAAACUACAAAACGCCGCUGAUAGUCUGGCCUUGCCCAGG